GCAGUGUACCCGCGGCAAGACGGAAAGACCCCGUGAACCUUUACUAUAGCUUGACACUGAACACUGGUCCUUGAUGUGUAGGAUAGGUGGGAGGCUUUGAAGCGUGGACGCCAGUCUGCGUGGAGCCGUCCUUGAAAUACCACCCUUUAAUGGCUGGUGUUCUAACGUAGACCCGUAAUCCGGGUUGCGGACAGUGUCUGGUGGGUAGUUUGACUGGGGCGGUCUCCUCCCAAAGAGUAACGGAGGAGCACGAAGG
rnacentral:rRNA from 2 species